GUGAGGCCAAGUCUUGAACGAAUACUAAGGUUUGCAUCUUUUAUAAAGCUUGACAAUUACUGUGUAGUUUCAGUUAACAUGAUAGUCACGCGUGGUGAAUCUCUUUUCUUGUCCAGAGAUUUCACGAAUCCAUUAUUGCCUACAGAACAACAUCCUAGGGCCCUCCCAGUUUGAUUCUCUUUAUUUUGCUAUAUCUCAACUAUUACAUACAUCAUUUAUGCUCUGAAGCUAACCAUUGUAUGCUUUGAUUGGUUGGAGCGGCAAGGUUUUCCAGAUCCUGGGAGUCUAUCCCUUCCAACAAUCUGGAGGUAGCAUAGUACAUCCGUACUCGCAGAGGGAAUAUGUCUGAGCCGCCGUUAUGUGUUUCUACUAAUUAAAGAACAACUAGGGUCAUUUGAAAGAAGACGAGCUGGAAGAAUUCCACGAUAGACCAUUGCUUCAAGGUUGGGAGCGGCCACAACAUAAUUGACAUCAAAACCAGAUCUGGGUCCUACAUAUCCGGUCUUGCUCGUAUCCUACAAUGGUUUAUAGAUGGUGUGGCUCCUUGCACUAAGAUGAUCGAUCAGAGAUCUAGAGUCCUCAAUACAGUCGAUGACGCCUCCUCAAGAUUCACUUCUUCGUAGCCCCCAACCUUGGUAUAGUAUAAAAACCUACAAAUAAAUCAGAAGAAUAGGCAAUUAUCGGAUGCUUAUGUUUGUUGGUGUAGUAGCCCUCUUAAGUCCAGUCCUAGAGAAGUGUGUCGUAGAAGCAUAUCAGGAAGACAUGGACGUGGAUAUGCAUUAUGGUUGUAUUAUGGACGUGGAUAUGGUCGCUAUAUUAG
rnacentral:rRNA from 1 species